rnacentral:lncRNA from 1 species
GUAAUAUUUGCUCCAUAUUAACUAUUGACUUUCAUGAUAUGGAACUACAUUGAAGUACCAAAGAGCCACAUGUGGCUUGGGAGCAGCAAUUUGGCCACCAUGGAUAUAUACUCUAUUUAUUGGACCCUGCCUUUCACAUAUAUUCUUCAGAUAAAUCACUAUGUAUGUUUAUUCCUUACUUCUCACUUGCAUCAAUAUCUCUUUCCCCAUUCAUUAAAGCAUAUUGAUCCUCAAAAUCAAUUGAUAGUGAUCUGAGUCAAUCACUGAACCUCUCAUCAAUCUUGUAUCCUGAUUUUAUACAUUAUUUCUCUCACAGUUUCAGUAGAUUAACGGCCACAUCCAUACCACUUCUCACUAUUCAUCACUCCAGACUGUUCUCCAACAAUCCAUUCCAUAUUCAAAUAUACUUAUAUGAUAU